rnacentral:rRNA from 1 species
AGAGUUUGAUCAUGGCUCAGAACGAACGCUGGCGGCAGGCCUAACACAUGCAAGUCGAACGCCCGUAGCAAUACGAGAGUGGCAGACGGGUGAGUAACACGUGGGAACCUUCCCUUCGGUCGGGAAUAGCUCAGGGAAACUUGAGGUAAUACCGGAUACGCCCUAACGGGGAAAGAUUUAUCGCCGUUGGAUGGGCCCGCGUCGGAUUAGCUAGUUGGUGAGGUAAUGGCUCACCAAGGCGACGAUCCGUAGCUGGUCUGAGAGGAUGAUCAGCCACACUGGGACUGAGACACGGCCCAGACUCCUACGGGAGGCAGCAGUGGGGAAUAUUGGACAAUGGGUGCAAGCCUGAUCCAGCCAUGCCGCGUGAGUGACGAAGGCCUUAGGGUUGUAAAGCUCUUUUGGCGGGGACGAUAAUGACGGUACCCGCAGAAUAAGCUCCGGCGAACUUCGUGCCAGCCGCCGCGGUAAUUCA